rnacentral:rRNA from 1 species
UACGUAGGGCGCAAGCGUUGUCCGGAAUUAUUGGGCGUAAAGAGCUCGUAGGCGGCUUGUCACGUCGAUUGUGAAAGCCCGAGGCUUAACCUCGGGUCUGCAGUCGAUACGGGCUAGCUAGAGUGUGGUAGGGGAGAUCGGAAUUCCUGGUGUAGCGGUGAAAUGCGCAGAUAUCAGGAGGAACACCGGUGGCGAAGGCGGAUCUCUGGGCAGCAACUGACGCUGAGACACGAAAGCAUGGGGAGCAAACAGG